rnacentral:lncRNA from 1 species
CCAACCAUUGAAGCUCUCACAAGCAUUGUUAAUGAGCAUAUCACAGUCAUAACCAGCUGAGAAAAGGGUAAAUCAGUCGAGAAUUCAAAGUAUAGGGGUAUACCAGUUUUAAAAAAAAGUGAGGGACAAAACUGAUUUUAGGUGUAAACUACAGGGUGUCACAAACAUUUACUCCUUUUAUUUUUGUUGAAUCGAUUACCGUUGUUGUACUUAUCUUAUGUUAUGGAGUUUUGGCGGGUAACCCGGUAACCCCGGUAGAAGAGCUCUUCUCGAACUUAUGAGUUUUCUUAGCCCAAUUUUAACCAAUAUGUGUAGACAAAAAAAUGAUGUUGAGUUUAAUGUUCAAAAACACUGCUACAAGCCUACAAGUAUAGCAUAAUAGCAAGCAAAUGUAUGACGACAGGCUCCAAAUUGUAACAAGGUGUUUACAAGGUGUUCAUAUCACUUUCACAAUUUGUGAUGGUGAGUUCCAAAAACAAACUUGCGUAAUAAAUGAAGGGAAAAACGGUGAAACGUGAAAUACUUUAGAGAAAAUUACAUAGUAGCACAUGACCAAAUUUAGAAUAACAAAAACCCCACUUCCAAUAAUUUUCUAACAGAUUACUACAUGAGCCUCGGGCCCAUGGUCCAUGGCACCAGGCCUGAUCCACAAACGCGUUUGCAAAUGACCAAAAAACCGUAGCGUUUCUUUUAAUUACAUGGAUGCCACUACGCAUAAAGGAUCCGAAAUUCCUAAUUUUGGUUCAGUAGCAAACACAGCGUCUCCUUCCUUCCGUCUCCUCUCACCGUGCCUAGGGUUUUCUCGCCUUCAUCUUCUUCAACCUCUCUCUGCAAUUCCUCUGGUAAGUGAUGCUACUGCUCUUCUUUCUUUCUCUGCUACUGUUCUGGUUCAAUUUCUUUUAUCGCCUUCUCAUCUCACUGAAAUUCCCAAUUCUGGCUCAGUAGCAAACGCAGUGUCUCCUUCCUUCCGUCUCCUCUCACCGCACCUAGGGUUUUCUCGCCUUCAUCUUCUUCAACCUCUCUCUGCAAUUCCUCUGGUAAGUGAUGCUACUGCUCUUUUUUCUCUCUCUACUACUGUUCUGGUUUGUUUUUGGUCUUUGGUUUCGUUUUUGGGAGAAAACCAGUAGCAGUAACCUUGUUUCCUUCGAUAUCGAAACGAUUCCUAUGAUUUUGCUUUGAUUGGGAGAAAAUCAGUAGCAUCUUUCAUUUUAUGGAAGUAGCAGUACAGUUUGAUUUAUGAAAGUAGCAGGCUCUAAUGAUUUUAUGAAUGUAAUUGUGUUGAAGGUGGGGAAGCAGACUCUAAUGGUGUGAUUUUCACAUUUUACAGGACAGUAGCAGCUUUUGUACACAAAGAUAUGGACAAAAACAACAAGGUAAUUAUGUAUGAAUGUGCAUUUAAUUUGUAGUUGCUACUGCAUUAACUUGGAAUGUUUGUGUUUUUUGAAUUUGAGAAUGUGAGAAUAUGAAUGUGCUACUGUCUGCAGGUGCAAAAUGCUACUGUCUGAAAAUUGGUUGUAAUUAUACUAUUGAUGUGU